rnacentral:rRNA from 1 species
UCGCCCUGGGAGGGGCCCGCGUCCGAUUAGCUAGUUGGUGGGGUAACGGCCUACCAAGGCGACGAUCGGUAGCUGGUCUGAGAGGAUGACCAGCCACACUGGGACUGAGACACGGCCCAG